CCCGAGGUGCAACCAUACUAGGUCUCCUUUCUGGAAAUUAGCCUCCACUCGAUAUCGAUCAUGUGGCUCCUUGUACUUCUUCUGGGCUCUCUACAGCUGCUGCUCCACUUGGAUAUGCACUUGCUUGAUCCUUUCUAAGAAGCGCUGGGCUCUCACGAUGGCCCUUUCCUCCUUAGAUGUUAGCAACGUAAUGUUCACCAUAA
rnacentral:lncRNA from 1 species